CAGGAGCGCCCAGGUCCCCGUGAGUCCCGCGCAUUUCACGAGGCGGGAACAAUGGGCGGGAAAGUCAGGGCGGGAAGCCAGGCCGGGAGGCCCUCCUUCCCCGGAGGCUCACCCCCGUCCCAGCUCUGCUGAAUCCUGGCCCUAAACCUGACACCAUUUAAUAAAGAAGGAAAAGAAAGGAGGGAGGAGGGACCCGCUGUCCCUGGGCUUCUGCUCGAGGCCCCUGAAAGCUCUGGGAAACAGAGAGGCUGUGCCACCCAGCGUCACACAGCAGUCACCUGGCAGAGAUGAACUGAGCCCGGCCCGGCUGUACCCGUCCCCAUGGAGGAUCUGUCCCCAGGUCCCUCCAGCCUCCUCUUCCGCAGCAGAGGUCCCCCGCCGCCCGUGGACCCCACCCCCCGCGGGCCGUGAACUGAGCUCCCUGGGGGCCUCAGGGGUCAAGGGGCUUCGCGCAAAGCUCAGCUGCCUCCUCCCUUCGAGGACGUGAGGCCCGAGUGACCUGGGGACAGCUGAGGGUGGGAGGAGCCAAGGGGCUUUCCAGUUGCCCCGCUCCCCACCCCUCCCUGCGGCCAGGCUGGUCCUGAGGCCGCAGGUGCCACUCGUCACCCAAGCGCUGCAGCUCUGCUGGGGACAGAGCCCCCGGGGCCGUCUCGCUGUCCGGAGGGAAACGGCGGCUGGUCCGGGUCAGGGUUCCUGCCUCCCUGGGCCUGGGGACUCCCUGGGCCUGGGGACUCCCGGGGGCCUGGGCCACUCCUGGUCUUGCUCCCGCGGACUUGAACCUGAACCUGAUCCUCCGGAGCCUCCUGCCUGGGGACGGAGAGCUGUGGACUUAGCAGAGGUCAGGAAGGACGUCCAGUGCAGCUGGAAUUCCACCGGUGGCCAGUGGUUCGAAGUGUGCCGUGGGGGCCCUGCGCUGCUUUGGGGACACUCUCUACUGAAACAUUGUCGCUGGGAUCCUGGUGACCUGGGCAUCCCGAGCUUUGCCUGGCRCCCUGGCUAGGGGACCCCGAGCGGGCCUCCUGGGCUUGCACUUGAAGCCAAGUUCCUCCCGGCUGGGGGGGGGGGUCAUGGACAGUCACCCGAGUCCCCGGGCUCAGACGGUCCACAGUGAGGACCACCGCUGAGGCUGGCUGGGCYGAGCAGGCGGGAGGCUGAGGGGCGCAGGCCGGGCCUCCCUAGCGCCCCCUCUUCCUGGGGGGAAGACCGAGCUCCACGUGACGCCUCCCGAUGUGCACAGUUAUGCAUGAAGGAGAGCAUUGGGCAUGUCCCGCACACGGAUCUGACUCCCCGUCUUGUGGUYGAAGGGGAUGUGGAGCAACGUGGCCGGGUUCCUGUAUGAACGAGGAAAGUGACGUCCGGUUCACUUGACUGCCUUCCUGUUUCCUUCCCCUCCUCCCCUCAUUCCCCUGUGCCUGAUCCAGUGAACUUCUAUUCUCCCGCCCCCUCAUUAYGGGUUACCGUCUGCACAUCAGGGGGAACAUUCGGUCUUUGGCUUUUUGAGGUUGGCCUAUUUCACCAGCAUGUUCUCUGUCCCCUGCCUUUACCUGCAUAUGUCAGAAUUUCAUUCUUCUUUAUGGCCGAAUAAUAUCCCAUUGUGUGUAUGGAGCACGUUUUUAAAAAUCUAUUCAUCUGUUGUCUACCAGAAAUAUAUACAACUAUCAUUUGUCAAUUAAAAGAAAACUCAAGUU